ACAGGUGACAUCCAGGCUAAUUAAUGUUCCUUUAAUGAUCUUAGGUUCCUCUGCCUUGCUGACCCCACUCAGAAAAUCUUGUACAGAGAUGAUGCGAUGCUGGAGCACUACGGGAGCCUGGCCUCGGGGAGAGGCCAGCCUCAUCUCAUCACUGGUAGAUUUUUGCUGCAGAUAUUUCUUAAGCACCUGCUAUGUUCUGGGAAUCAUCCUUGAUCUUGAGAAGAGAGUGGUGAAGAAGGACAUGUGGCCUACCUGUUAAGGAAUGUCAGUGGAGAGCAGGGGCAGGGAGGGUGUCAUCUCUGUAAACCCAGGGUGCUCACCCAGGUGAGAAACAAGGAGAGGAUUCUCCAAGAUACCUGUGCAGACCAGAAGUCUCAACUUCAACUUAAAACCAAAGAGAUGACUGCAAAGUGGAAUAAUAAAGUUUGGGAUAAACCAUCUCCUGGCAGGAAGAGGACACCAGUUCAACCUGGAGAGAAACCACAUGAAUAGAAUCUAUGUGGAAAAGUCAUCAGAAGAAACUUUAUUUUGCCCAGGAGAAGUGCAAUGAAUGUAAAGAAUGUGGGAAAGCGUUUAGUUAUCCUUCAUCUCUUAAAGUCCAUGCUCAAUCUCAUGCUGGUGAGGAACUUUACAAAUGUUUUCAGUGUGGGAAAGCUUUCAGUUGCCACCUAUCCCUUAGGACACAUAUGUGAACUCACACUGUAAAGAAACUAUGAGUGUAAUCAGUGUGGGAAAUUCUUCAGAUCCAGCUGGGGCCGUGCCAGACGUAAAAAGGUAUACACUUGGGAGAAACUGGAUGAAUGCAGUGGUUGUGGAAAGGCCUCAUCAGGAGCAGCGACUUGACUACAUAAGAGAGUGUACACUGGAGAGAAGCUCUAUCUGUGCAGUGCCUGCGGCAAAACCAUUAGCAGGAAGUUCCAUCUGACAGUGCACGUGAGGACCCAUACUGGGGAGAAGCUCCGCCAAUACAGUGACCUUCUGCACAAGGAAAUUCUGAGUGGGAGAGAAACUUUAUAAAUGCUACAAAUGUGGGAUUGCUUUUAUCAAUGUCUUAGCCUUAAGUUGGAAAUCUAACUCAUUAAUUUGCAGUCUGAGUUUUUGAAUAUAAGCAUUUAAGGCUAUAGGUAGCCCUUUAAAUACCCCAUUAGCGACAUUACAUGGGUUUUGAUCUAUGUUUUUUAAAAAAUUUUAAAUUUAAGUAACAUUGGUUAAUAACAUUAUAUAAAUUUCAGGUAUACAUUAUAAUGUGAUGUCUGUAAACUCUAUCGUGUGCUCACCACUAAAAAUCUAGUUUCCAUCUAUUACCCUAUAUUUGAUCCCCUUAACCCAUUACCCCCUCCCAACCUCAUAAGAUUUUUAAAUGUUUGAUUUAGUUCUAAAUAUUGUCUAAUAUCUCUUAGAUGACUAUUAGCUCACAGUGUCACUUUACUUUGAGCCUACCAAAAUACUACUUCAUUUCAAUUCCAUCUGAACUGUCUCCUUCUCCAAAAUUCUAAGUAUCCAUAUAUCAUCCCCUGUUUGGUGGGAUACUUCAUGGUUCUUCAGGUGUGUGGUCUCCCUUGUAAUGAGCGAGUAAACCUGACUUUGUCAGACUAUAGGUUUUGUCCCUUGUGGUCUGUGGCUGAUUGUGUUGGGACAAUAACAUACAUUUAAAUGUGUUCUACUUUCUUGGCUUCUAAAAUGUUCCUAAAAUAUUCUUCUAAAAUAGCUUUGAAAAUAUUUUCCUAUCCAUUAAUUAUUUUUUUAUGUGGUAUCAGGAGGAUUACAAUUUAAUUUCUUCUCUGGUAGAUAAUCAGUUUUCCUAGAGCUCUAAUCAGAAAGCCAGCUCUCAUAAGUUGUUUCUUUGUGCAUGUUUUUCUGUUUUGGGGCCUUCCACUCUGUUCUAAUUCGUUUGUUCAUCCUUGCAUCAGUAUAGAACCAUCUUUAAUAAUUUUAUACUAUUUUUUAAUAUUCCAGAGUCAGUUCUCCACGACUUGUUUUUCUGUGCCUUUUAUUCUCCAUGUAAAUUUAAUAAUAAGCUUGCAGAGCUCCACAGAAAAUCAUCCUGGUAUCAUAUCUGGAACUGCAUUGAAUCAGUACUGGUAGAUUCAACAUCUUUAUGUUAUUAAAUCUUUCAGGCCACGAACUUCGUAUCUGCAUUUAAUUAGGCAUUCUUUAAUGUCUUUCAGUAAAGUUUUAUAUAUUUUCCUGUGAAGGUCUGGCACAUUUAUUGUCAGAUUUCUUUCUAGGAACUCUAUAUUUUCUCAUGUUUUUCUAUAUGCUAAUACAAUUGACCCUUGAACAAUGUGGGGAUUAGGGGCACUGAUGCCCUACCCCUGCACAUUCAAAAAUUUGCAUAUAAUUUUGACUCUCCCAAAACUUAACCACAGUCAUCCCCUGUAUCUGCAGGAGAUUGGUUCCAAGACCCCUGCAGAUACCAAAAUCCAUGCAUGUACAAGUCUCUUGUAUAAAAUGGCCAGGUCAAUGCAUACAAUUGGUGCUCUGCAUCCAUGGAUUCCCAACUCUGUAUUGAAAACAGUAUUUUGGUUGAACUUGCGAAUGUGAAAUGGGGAUAUAGAGGGUCGACUGUAUAUCUAUUGAAAAAAAUUUGUUUAAUAGGGGAUCUUUGCAGUUCAAACCCAUGUUGUUCAAAGGUCAACUGCGUAUUAGAAAUGUAAUUUUUCUUUGUAAACAUAUAUUCUUAAUGUUUUUGGAUGCUAGCGAUAAAUGUUUACUAAAAAUUCUAAAUUUUGUUGAACAUUUCCAAACAGAUUUGUAAACAUAGUACUUUUCAACGGGUAGCUUGUUAAAGACAAAUAUGGUAAGACAACACAAUCGGAAUGAACGAUAGUUCAAAAUCUUUACAUCUUUGACCACAUAAUUUAUGUUCAGAGUCAACAGAUGAACUCCAUGAAAUGCAAGUUUGUGCUGAUUGACGAGUCACAGUAUUUUAUGGUUAAAUAUAUGUUCUUUUUAUAUUCCCUAUUUUCAAGACCAAAAAAAUC